AAAGUCGUAACAAGGUAACCGUAGGUGAACCUGCGGUUGGAUCAUUAACAAUAAAGACGAUACGGAUUCGAGUAGUGACUUUAGUGUCACUAUCCACCGAACGCCGAGACGUACUUGGACCCCACUUGUGAAUCGUAAACGUACUUUGGCAGCCCUCCAAAAACCCCUCUUUCUUUUUUUAGUUGGAGGGAUGGGCUGUCAGCUUAAUAGUUAAACACCUGUUUUAUUAUCAACGAGUUUUAAUGAGCAGCGAAAAGACCUUUUUCUUUGAAAGGGUUGCUUCAAAGCUUCAUUUCUGUAUUGAAAUGACUUGAAAACAACUUUUGACAACGGAUCUCUUGGCUCGC
rnacentral:misc_RNA from 1 species